AACUGAAGUUGUCUAUAGGUGUGGU
rnacentral:piRNA from 1 species